AAAAUGAUGAAAGUUGCUUUCAAACCUUGGUUUAUUGGUUUCGUUAUGCUCGCAAUUCUUCUGUUUGGAGAAAGGGCUAUUGCUCGGACAGGAGAAAAUAGGUGGUGUUUCACAACUUUAACACCUAUACCAUCAUCAAAAAAUCCCAACCCUCCAAGAUGUACUCCCGAUAGCUGUGAAGCCUUAUGUCUCAAAAAGAAAAAAGCACUGAUAAGUAAAUGCCUUAGAAUAAAUUACGGAUGCAUGUGUCGGAUUGACUGCGCUAACUGAUUUUUUAUCAAUAUUAUUAAUUCAGAAUCACUCUUAUUAUUUACCCUUCUAAUACCGUGGAAUAUUACUUAAAAUGCCAUCAGAUUUUCAAACAACUCAUUUGCCCUCAUUAAUGUUAGAAUGGUAAUUAACCACUUCCAUUAGCAACGAAUUUUAUGCAACCGUAAUGUACUUCUUCUUUCUUAUAACUAACCGUAAUGCUUACAAAAAAUAACUAACCGUAAUAUACUUAAUACAUAAAAAAUUGAGAGGUACAUAUUAUUCAUCAGUACGAAACGUAUACAGCCUCCACGAAAUAUUCCUCUGAUAAGGACACUUAUGCAAUCCAAACACAAACCCACAUUCAAUAAUAUUUGUUAGUUUUAGACAAAAAGAAAUAUUUGUUAUCUUAAUAAUAUAUAAUAAAAAUAUUUAUUAUUAUCAUGACAUACAAUUACCCAACAACCCAUAAAUCAGUAUAUAUAAAUAGCAAAUAUAUAUAACUUAAUAAUAUAUAGUUUUCAAAUCAAAUUAAAAUUUAAACCAAAAAAAAUCCAUGAAUCAAUUAAGAUAAAUAAUAAAUAACAAUAACUUUUUUAUAAGAUUAUUAAAUUAAGUAAUUAUUUCACGGAUAUUUAAAAUUAAAAUUCAUCAGUUAUUUUUUUAAACAUAAACGCCUGAGUCUUUGGAAUAGGUUUGGUUCAAUUUUUUUAGGUCUGGUUUUUUUGGACUGCAGACAUUUGGAUCUAACUAUAAAAACACACAAACAUAUAAAUUAUAUUAGGCAAAAAAUUUAAAAACAAAAAAUAUACCCGCCCUCUCGAGGGCGGGUCAAUAUCUAGUAUACAUUAAAACUCGAAUAAUAUUUAUAAUAAUACUAUGUAUUUGUCAUAAAUAAAUAUAAAUAACAAAUAUUGAUACAUGUAUCUUCAUCUCCUUUUCUUCUUGUUCAAGUAUUUAAAAUUAUUAUCUAACUCACAUAACCAUAAUAAACCGUUUAUACUGAAUUGAUCAAUCGUUACUGACGUAACAUAAUAAAUUGAUGUUGACAUUGACUUACUAUGACAAAAUAACCAAUUUUAUAUCGACUAUAAGAACUAACACACAUAAUUGUGUCAAUAACUUACGCACAACAACAUCAUAUUUUAUGAUAAUUAUAAAGUUAUAUCAAAAAAAAGUGCACCUAAUGUUUUUCUUAUAUGAGAGAGUUCUGAUUUUAAUCAAUUAUGUUUGGUGACAAAAUAUAGUAGAGUUUUAUCUUAUAUAUAGAUGUGAAUUAUUCUAAUCCCUUCAGUUACAAAAAAAAAGAAAAGAAUAUUGUAAUCCUUUUUGGAUUAUGAUUUCUUAAACAUAAAAUUUACUAUUUAAAUAAGAAAGUUUAUUAUUAUAUGGAAAUAUUUGAAAUACUUGUUUUACAUUUUUUGUUUAGAUUUGAAGAAAAAAGAAAACUACAAUUAAACAGUCUUUAACAAUUUUUUUUGUAGAAGAUUUUAUAAAAGGAUAAUUACUAUCAAACAAAUUUUUACAAUUAUAUUUUCUUUAUGAUUUUAGAAAACGAAAAUUAUUAUUAAGUAAAUUACUAUACAUUUUUUAAGAAUUGUAAAAAAGAAAAAAUCAGAAAAUGGAAAUUAUUGUCAACUAAAAACUAUCAAAUUAUGUUUUGCUAUUAUCUUUGUUUAGGAUUUUAAAAAGGAAAAUUACUAUUAAAGAAUUUUGUGUUAUUAUCUUAUUAUAUUUAUAUGAUUAAUUAUGAUAUAUUAAGCAAUUAUGUUUGGUCACAAAAUAUAGGAGAGUUUAAUCUUAUAUAUAGAUGUGAAUAAUUGUAAUCCUUUCAGUUACAAAAAAUAAUGUAAUCCUUUUUGGAUUAUGAUUUCUUAAACAUAAAUUUAGUAUUUAAAUAAUAGAGUCUAUUAUUAUAUGAAAAUAUUUGAAAUACUUAUUUUACAUUUUUUUAGAUUUGAAAAAAAGAGAAAACUACAAUUAAACACUUUUUAACCAAUUUCAUUUUGUAGAAAAUUUUAUAAAGGGAUAAUUACUAUCAAACAAAUUUUCAAAUUUAUAUUUUUUUAUUUUAGAAAACGAAAAUUAGUAUUAAGUAAAUUAUUAUACAUAUUUUUUUUAGGAAUUGUAAAAAGGAAAAAAAUAUAAAAAUGAAAUUAUUGUCAACUAAAAAAAACUAUCAAAUAAUCUUUUGAUGUUAUCUUUAUUUAGUAUUUUAAAAAACGAUUUUACAAAACGAAAAAUUACUAUUAAGUAAAUUAUUAUACAUAUUUUUUGUUUAGGAAUUGUAAAAAGGAAAAAAAAAAUUAGAAAAAGGAAAUUAUUGUCAAGUAAAAACCAUCAAAUAAUCUUUUGCUAUUAUUAUCUUUGUUUAGUAUUUAAAAAGGAAAACUACGAUUAAAUAAUUCUUUUGUGUUAUUAUCUUAUUAUAUUUAUAUUAUUAAAUAUGAUAAAUUUUAACACAUAUCAUCAUCUUAAAUUUUUAAUUGUCAUGUGUCAUCGUCAUGUUAAUUAACAACUUUGAAAAACUAAGCUUUGUAUAGUAAGAUUAGAUCUCUUUUUAUAUAGGGUUAUACAAAUCAUAACCCUACGAAUAUUUGAAAAACUGCUUAAAGUAUCUUAAAAGGAAAAAUACCAAAACUCUAUUCUUAAUGCUUUAAGGAAAUAUUACUUUUGAAUCUUAUUUCUUAUGUAUGUGAUACCAUAGCGUGUAUCAUAAACAUGUAAGGAUGGAAGAUAAACUAUGAUCUAAUAUUUGAUACACAAACUCAGACUCCUCCACAUCCCACGUGACAAUGAUCCCACAAGAGAAAAAUGGAUGAACCUUGCACUUAGGAAAAGCGAUCUGACAAAAAUAUUUGUUUUCCUGCUGUAGACUCCACUUCCAACAAAUCCACUAUUGCCCCAACAAGAAGUAUCACACGGCUGAAGAUCAAACUCCAUACGAAGCAAAGCUCACUCUUUUUUCUCCUAGUAUUAAAAAGACCAAGAUAAUCCUUUCCUGCCCAAGUGAUAGACUCCAUCCCGUACGUCAAUGAAUUUUUUUUCAAAUCUAUGCUUCGACUCACUUGAAGCGGUGAAACAACGAUCAAUCUACAUGGAGAGAAAGUCAGAUCGCAUACCAACAAAAAUCAUAAAUUAUCAAAGAAAAAUCUCCAUUCGUUACUCCUUUCAUUGUGGAUCACAUCUGUGUCUUGUUCCAUGCUUUUCGAAACACCAAAUUGCUCACGUCACCGUAAUUCCAUGAAAACCAGAAAUACUUUUUUUUAUAUGCGGCAUAGACACACAUCACCGGUAACAUAUUAUUUGCCCACCCCUGCGUGCUGAUGUGGCUUAACGAGGAAAGAGCAUACCCAACUUUAUUAUUAUAGAUUUUAUGAUAUUUUGUUCUUUUGAAAACUGAAUUCUCAAUUUUUUUUAUAUUUGACUAAACUAAAUAAAGUAAUACUAUAUUUAAAAUUGUUUUACAUAAUAUAUAUACUAUAUAUUUUAGUUUUAGUUUUUAUUUUCACCACAAAGAAACGACAAAAUUGUAAUUAAUUAAUUUAAAUUGAUUUUAAAUACAGUGAUGAAAUGUGUAAAUAAAAACGAAAUACAAAACUGAAGUAUUUAAUUUAUUAUAAAUACAUUGACUAAAUGUGUAAAUAAAAAUAAAUAUUUAAUCUACUACAUGUGUCUCCAAACAAUUCUCAUUUAUUAUGUUAUCCAUGUUUCCAAACAAUACCAAAAUUAUAUUAAUUUUAAUAAUAUAGAUAGAUACACGUUUUGGCAUUAUUUUAUUUGGUGGUAAAAACGUGCCUACUUUUGUGAACAAAACAGUUCGAAAAACCAACUUAUAGUGCAAUGCUAUUUAUUACGAGGACCAAGUACAUUAUAUAUUUGGAAAUAAUGUGGGUGAUGUGUAUGAUGAGCAUCAGAGAAAUUUAUAUUAUGAUAUGGUUACAAAUGUAUUUUUAUGAAACUGUAAUUUCUGAUAAUAGCAGGGAAGAACUUAACAUGCAAAACAGUUUUAUAAUACACUGCAAAAAAAACCAUCUAAGAAACAUGUAGGGCAGGGCAUUAUAGAUUGUCAUUGGCAUCCUUCUCGACAUCCAUCGAUCAAUCCAAUAUAUAAAAUAGAAAUCAAUACAAAAACCAAAGGAGUUCCAAGAAGAUUCUGAAGGAAUUCUUUUAUAUUUUUUUAACCUAAGAGAAAACCUAAAAUAAAAUAAUAUAAAUCAUAAAAGAAAGAAUACCCUAAACAACAACUAAUAAAACACAUAAAUAGAAUUUUGAGUUGGCCAAAGGCAUCCUGUUAAUUUGUGGUGACUUCUGGGUCUCAGUCGGUCUUGAAAUAGACUCGGCCAUCUACUUUCAUCAGUGUCGAUCGACACCAAAGGGUCAUUAUUGAUCGACACUCCUUCAUUUCUUCGACAGUUUCCUCUCGCGAGUUUGACAUACCAUUCUUCAGUGAAAUGAUCAUAACUCUAUAUUUAACCUUCAGAUGGACCUCAAACCGAUGGAAUAGGAAAGGUAACUCAAAUAUCUAUCUUGUGUCAAAAUAUGAGCUCAAUCCCAGCGUGGGAAGGUCUCCGUCCAUCGCCAAAUUUCGGACACGUCUUUACAGUUCUGCAACUCAAAUAAUUCUGAAAUCAACAAAGUUCCUCAAACGUAUGUGAACCUGAAAUGACUCUAAAAUAGACUCCAAACAUAUAUAAUAGACUAUAUAUAUUAUAUAAAUUCUGAAUCUGUGACUUAAUCGAAUUAUUGUUUAUGCAUAUCAAAAAUACUUUAAAUUAAAUAUAAAAAGGCUAUUUUUAUUUAAUAAAUUUAAAAACAAGUGGUUGUGAUUUUUUGUUUUUGUCAAACUAGAUCCGUUUAUAUUGGAAUUUGAAAAGAUGUAUAGCUUAAAUUAGACUUGUUUCAAUUUGUGAUUCAUCUAUAAAUGUACUUCUAUGUCGUUCUAAUUUUUAAAACACCAUUAUUUCAUUAUCAAAAAUGAAAGUUGCUUUCAAACCUUGGUUUAUUGGUUUCGUUAUGCUCGCAAUUCUUCUGUUUGGAGAAAGGGCUAUUGCUCGGACAGGAGAAAAUAGGUGGUGUUUCACAACUUUAACACCUAUACCAUCAUCAAAAAAUCCCAACCCUCCAAGAUGUACUCCCGAUAGCUGUAAAGCCUUAUGUCUCAAAAAGAAAAAAGCACUGAUAAGUAAAUGCCUUAGAAUAAAUUACGGAUGCAUGUGUCGGAUUGACUGCGCUAACUGAUUUUUUAUAUACAUUAAAACUCGAAUAAUAUUUAUAAUAAUACUAUGUAUUUGUCAUAAAUAAAUAUAAAUAACAAAUAUUGAUACAUGUAUCUUCAUCUCCUUUUCUUCUUGUACAAUUGUAAAAAUUAACAAAAAAAUAUAGGGACAUUUGCUAAAAACAACCCAAAUAUUCAAGUCAAAUCUAAAAGUGUACCCCACUUUCAGUCAAAUACAAAACCAACUUAAAAGGAUAGUGAAAAUACUAGUUAACCCUUAUGACCAAACAAAAAAACAGAAAUGUAUUUUACGUUUCUAUCCUUCGGAAGUCUACACGUAAUAAAAGAAGUCUACAUAUAUAUAGAUUUCCUACGAUGUCUACCUUAUAGACUUAUUUUGUAGUCUACACUCUAAUUUGAUCUAAUAAUUUAAUUUUGAAAAUGUAUAAAAAUAAUUAUUGUGAUAUUUUUAACUAAUCAUCAAUAUAAUGGAUAACAUGAACUAAAUAAAUUAAAAUUUCAUAUAAUUGAACAAUUUUGAAGAAUAUAUACUAAUUUGGUUAUCAUGUGUUAGACAAUGUUCAUAGUUUAGAAACAAAAUGUUCUUACAUGUUAUGUCUUUUAGUGGUUGAUUUCAUAGGGUUGGAUUUUAGAUUUUGUUUUUUUAUUGUUUUGUUAUCUUAAAUCUGCAUAGUAAUGUUUAGUAGUUUAUAUUUUGUACAAUUGAGACUUUUUGAUUAUCAAGCAAAACAUUUAGUGUUUGAGAUUUGUGGUUUAGGGUUUAGGGUUUCGUAGACCUACAAUAAAGUCUAUUUAUCUGCAGACGUCCUUUUCAGUCUAUUUUAUUGGUAUUUACAAAAUAUCUUAAAUUUUAAAUUAAAUUUAGGGUAUAGUAGACGUCUUUUUGGUCUACUAGGAUACAAUUGAUUAAUUUAGGGUAUAGUAGACGUCUUUUUUAGUUUAAUAAGACCUGAAAUUACAAAAAAGAUUGAUUAAAUUUUGUUUUUAUGGAAACGGAAAUGAUAUCAUAUAUUAAACUUAUUAUAAAAAUAAAGAAAAAAUAAAUAAAUUAUAUAUAUAUAAAUAAAGAACAAAAAAAUAAAUUAUUCAAAUAUAUAAAAAUAUAUAUAAAAAAUUGUAAUAGACAUACCGAUUGUAGACCUACUUGUGUGUCUACAGAACCGGAAACAAUUUAAUUUAACCAAAAUAAUAUAAUCUAACAAGUAUUAAACCAGAAAAGUUUUAACCUAACCGGAUAACUUUCCCGACAUAUAAAUACAAUUUUUAGUCUUCAUUUGGUAAAAAAAGACAAACCCUAGCGGCCGUUACUCUCUCUCUCUCUCUCUCUCUCUCUCUCUCUCUCUCUCUCUCUCUCUCUCUCUCUCUCUCUCUCUCUCUCUCUCUCUCUCGGGCGAUUUCCGGUGAAGUCAACCCGUUUCUGCCGCUUACACUGGUUGCCGUCCCGCUGCUGCUGCUAUAUCUUCCCUCUGCAAGAUCUGAGCCGGCGAAGGAACAUUGUGUAUGUAUGUCUCUCUAUCCAACUGUUGGGCUUUUGAAGGGCUUGAGAAAGAAGAGGGCCACCUCAAAACAACUAAUCACAACAAUAUUGUAACUUCAGCUCGUUCAGCUUCUCUACUCUUUUCAAGAGAAAUCAUGAGUAGGCUAUAAGCAAUCUAGCUAGAGUAGUGAUGAUUCUUCUGCCAUAACCGGCAUUGACAGCUUGCUGGCAAGUGAGGUGCCUAUCGGUUAUCAGGCUGGGACUUUCACUUUAGAGGACUGACCUACCGUCUUGGCAUGGCUCGGUCUAGGCGUUUAAGAGAGAUUCUCCACCGGUUGUAGACUUCAAUAGCGAUCUUGAAACUCUCUGAGACGAGAAAAUUGCAAGAAGGCGGAAGCUUUGUAUCCACUGUCAAUACUGUAUCACAACCAACUGUUACGGACAUUGCAGCAUCAGUAUGUCUAUGGAGUUCUUGUAUUUUAAGCCAUGGCCACAUUCAUUGGCCAAGUCUAUGUUCUAUCGUUGAUUGCACUCUUUGUGGCCGCUUCAACUGCCCUGAUUGUGCAACCAUUUUUUGGCUAGAAUUGGAGGAUAUGAAGUUUUUGGUAAUAGGUGUUUGUAUUAUAUGCCUUUGUACUAGCUAUAUUGUAUUGUGCUUUUGUAUCACUGCUGUAUUAUGUAAUUUUCUUGGAUAUUCUGUACUGAAGUGUACUCGACCGAAAGUAGACUUGUUUAAUACAA